rnacentral:rRNA from 1 species
AACGAACGCUGGCGGCAGGCUUAACACAUGCAAGUCGAACGAUCUCUUCGGAGGUAGUGGCAGACGGGUGAGUAACACGUGGGAACGUACCUUUCAGCCAGGAAUAACUCAUGGAAACGUGAGCUAAUACCCGAUACGCCCUUUUGGGGAAAGAUUUAUCGCUGAAAGAUCGGCCCGCGUCUGAUUAGCUAGUUGGUGGGGUAAUGGCCUACCAAGGCGACGAUCAGUAGCUGGUCUGAGAGGAUGAUCAGCCACACUGGGACUGAGACACGGCCCAGACUCCUACGGGAGGCAGCAGUGGGGAAUAUUGGACAAUGGGCGCAAGCCUGAUCCAGCCAUGCCGCGUGAGUGAUGACGGCCUUAGGGUUGUAAAGCUCUUUCGACGGGGACGAUAAUGACGGUACCCGUAGAAGAAGCCCCGGCUAACUUCGUGCCAGCCGCCGCCGUAACAC